AUGUGCCCGGCGAGGAUUUCUGUGCUGCGCCUCCGCAUUCUCCCUCUCUCCCUCUGCUCUCUUCCUUCCUGCUCAGCGUGCCUGCCCUCGCUUCCGCACCGCUCCCCUUCGUGCAUCCCACCGGCGACCAUGGUCAAGGAGAAGACGGCGGCGUUGGAGCGUGCCAAGAAGGCGUCGGUAUCGGAGAAGGCGAAGGGGAGAUCCACCAGCCGCCGAGGAUCCUCGUCCAGAUCCCGCCUGCCGAAAGGCUGGGUCCAGGGCGACUGGAUCCAGUCGACCAUCACGGAGAAGGACCUCCUCGACAUGGCCGACGAGGGUUUGAUCCCUCACGGAGCCGCGAGGUUGCCGGGGAAGGAGUGGCAGCCACAGCCAGAAGAGGGUGAGUGUGCGCUCCUGGCCACUCAUGUCGAUCGGGGGUUUUCCUUGCCACCGAGCAUUUUCUUCCGGGGUUUCCUGAAUUUCUUUGGGGCGCAGCUCCACCACUUUACCCCAAACUCCAUUGCCUACCUUGCUGCGUUCGUGUCCAUGUGCGAGGGUUUCUUGGGCUGUCGACCGCACUGGGGUCUGUUCAAACGUAUCUUCACGUGUCGCUCUCAGACCGUGAAGAAGGCGAGCCCAGGUGACGAGAAGACCCGAGUCGUCCAAAUGUGUGGGGGCCUGGGGAUUCAGGUGAGGAACAAUAGCACCUUCCCGCCCAUGUCUUUUCCCGAGUCCGUCAGGGGCUGGCAGUCGACUUGGUUCUACUGCCAGGUCCAGUCGACGCCAGGGCAGUCGAGUGGACUCCCUCAGUUUACCAUGGACCGAGUGAACAAGCCCUCCCCUCUGAAGCUGAUUCCGGAGGAGAAAGCCGACGUGAAGAUGUUGAUGGAGCGAGUGGUGCAGCUGGUUCGGGACGGAGUGACAGGCAUGGACCUCUUGGAGGUUUUCCUCAAGCGCCGCAUCCAACCUCUCCAGUUCCGGAGCCACUGCAUGUGGUUGUACUGUGGGCCCGCGGACGAGACCAGAGUCCAUCCAGAAGAAGUCGACGAUGUCACUCUGGAAAGGUGGAUGGUAGCCGUUACCGGGAACAGGGACAACCCGCGCGGAGCCAGAAGGAUUCCUCCACUCGACCACGACAGCAUCCCAAACAAGGCCUUCAUCGAGCUGUACUCGAUGCCCAAUGGGGCACAAACUUCGACUGAAGAAGGCGAGGCGAGCGGGGGCGAGGCGAGCGGAGGUGAGGCGAGCGGGGGCGAGAGCCAGGGAGAGGAGGAAUGGGACUCGGAUGCUGCAGGGGAUAACGACGACGAUGAUGAUGAUGAAGGUGAUGAAGGUGACCUCGAGGACGAGGAAGAAGAGGAGGAGGAGGUCGUUCCACCGCGCUCAGAAAGGCGGUCGAAACUUGUCCACGACCCCUCGACCGAACGUGGUAAGGGGGUAGCGACCGCCGCCCAGUCGACCAAGCGCCCUCGGACCACCUCUCCGGCGCCGACUGAAAAGGCGCCGAAGCAGCCCAGGGCGGCCUCAUCGAAGCCGGCCAAGCUUCUGCCGAAGAUGAAGGUGUCCAUCCCCACCAUUUCAGGUGCUGCUACUUCUGAGACCUCGACCCGGGCCGACGACCACGAGAUGGAGGAUGCUGCAACUUCGAAUCCAGCUCCACCCAACACUGUUAUCGAUCUGCCUGAUGAUGAUGAGGAUGAGGAGCCGCUGAAGCGCAGGAGGAGUCGGAAAGCGCCUGCCGGCAAGGCGUCUCAGGAUGCGUCAGCGCCUGAGAUUCUGACUGUGGAGGGAGAGAACACCACUCGACACACGGUGACCUUCGCGACCCCACUGACGAGUGCUCAGCAGCCUUCCCUCUUCACGACUCACCACGUCCCAGAGGACCAAGCUGGUGCGGCGAAGGAGGCGAUACGCCAGGCGGGACUCAUGAUGGAGCAGCUGAAGACCAUCCGGGAUGCGAGUCAAGCAGCCUAUGACGCCAGCUCUGCCCUCCAAAGCAAUGUCCAGGUCAGUCGACUGCUGUUUGUUCUGUUGGAUACGCUCCCAAAAACUUUUCUUUUCCGGGAUUUAUAUUGGUCACCCACUGGGAGUGUUGAAUAA
rnacentral:rRNA from 1 species